rnacentral:rRNA from 1 species
CGGCGGACGGGUGAGUAACGCGUGGGUAACCUGCCUCAUACAGGGGGAUAACAGUUGGAAACGGCUGCUAAUACCGCAUAAGCGCACAGUACCGCAUGGUACGGUGUGAAAAACUCCGGUGGUAUGAGAUGGACCCGCGUCUGAUUAGGUAGUUGGUGGGGUAACGGCCUACCAAGCCGACGAUGGAUAGGGGUUCUGAGAGGAAGGUCCCCCACAUUGGUACUGAGACACGGACCAA